GAAGCUGUGUUAUUUAAGUUCAUCCAUCUAGAGUUAAAAGAUAUUGCACAAUAUUGUGUUUCCACUUCACUUCUGGGGGCUAUCGCAUCCAUCACACUCAAUUCCAAAACUGUAGUGCCAUUUUGCUCCACGUUCAUCACUGAUUAUAACGCUGAAAAUCAGACUUGAAUUGGUGGCGUUGUUCCUGUGAAGUUUGAUGUAACAUAUGGCAAGAGCAGACGACGCAUAUUGUGAGUAUUCCGGGAUUCCCUUUCUGGAAACGUCACCUGGAAAAGGCUAGCCUUGGUAGCGUUGGCCACCAAUCGGCAGUUGGGCGGGUAAACCAGAAUAUUAGAGGAAGGCGUCUGCUCUGUGAUCGGCUUGCGGAAUGGUCUUUCUGGUUAGUGUCGGGUGUGUUCGUGCAACCAGGGGAAUAACACUGCGUUCCGCGCAACAUGGUCACGUUAGAACUCACACUGUUGAGCGAAAGUAGGCGUAUUUACCAAGGUUAUUUUUCACUUUGUAUACUGCGAUGUGAACACCAAGCAGACAAUCUCGGAGAAAAUCGCCUGCGCUGCGCUUCCAUUUGUAUGCUUGGCUUCCGUCAUUGUGGUGUUAGCUGCAGAGGGAGUGCAAAUCUUUAAAACUUGUUUAUUUAAUAUAUAAGCAGAAUUUGGAACAGAAACUUGACCAAGUUGACUGUGAACCGGUGACAAACAUUACCGUAUCCGUCUCAUACAUACGUUCGCAGAUGCGAUAGUCCCUUUAACUAGGGCAUUUGAACUAUUCCUAUGAUCUGAAGCUGCCCGGGAUCUCACUUUCCUUUAUCUGAGUAGGGCAUUGCAAUAACGACUCCAAUAACUUUUGUCACUUUUGCUCUUGGUAGUUGUUAAAAAACCCGUAUUGAAACCCAUAUCACUUGGCUACUGCUAUGUAUUCUCAUAUGCUUAGCAGUACGUAUAUGUAUGUAUGUAUAUAUAUAUAUAUAUGUGCAAAUAUAAAAACGAGCGAAUGCUCCAUGGCUGCACGUGAGGCAUAUGUUUACAAUUCAAGCGUGCCACCAUCUCAGCUGUGGCCGUCCACAGCUGGGAUUGUGGCAGGCUUGAAUUGUAAACAUAUAUAUAUAUAUAUCUGUAUAUCAAUAAGAAAAUUUAGGCUUUGGGGGAGCUGGGAAAAACCCUGCCUCUAUUAGAUUCAAAGAAGGGUAACUGAGGUAUUUUUGUUAGUUUCCUUGUUCGUUGCUCUGGUAUUUUAAAUUCUGUUUCUGAUACCAGCCUUACAAUUUCCUUUCCAUUACCAUUUCUGGUAAUGAAACAGCUCUUAUAGAGUUGCAUGUGCACACCACUGUCGAGUCUCUGGAUGUUGCUUAAGCACUGCUAUAGUCUACAUAGCGCGUUCACACAACUACAAGUAAUUUGACUUCUAAAUGACAUUGUGCAUAUUCCGGAAAAUCUGUAGAAACAUGUCUGCAUCCUGCAUAAUGUGCUGCUCACUUUCAGAAUCCAGCAUGUCUGCAUGGGCAAUGUGAAUUUGAGCAUAUACAGAAGGUUUCUUUGUGCACUUGCACAUGUGUUGUUACCUGUUCAACAUCAUUAUAACAAUGUCAGCCAAGGGAUUUAUGCAGUGGGGGAAUGUGGACCUUUUCUUUUUUUGGUGGGUUACAAGGAGCUUCAUGAGAUGAUAAGCAGAGGGGCAAUGUCAGAAUUCUGUCAACCAUCAUCGUUAGGCAGUGGUGAACCGAUGGGCUGAGCACUAAAGCGAAACGGCAGGAGUCAACUGCGAGGAAAUGGGCAUAUGGUGUCAUCUAUAUAAGGUCGACUAUAUCUCGGGAGUUGGAGCCCUGUAAUUACACACGUCGUGUGUAGGAAGCAUUGAGUCCAGCCCACAUCACAAUAUGUGCGAAAAUCAUUUACAGAAAGAAAUAUAUGCAUGUCAAAUCGUAUAAACCAGGGGUGUCGAACUCAUUCGUGCCCGUUGGCUGCAUUGAGCCAUGGAGGAACUACGCGAGUCCCACACGCUGGCUUUGGGGUAGCCUGUUUCUGAUAUAGAUGACACAACACAGAACCUAAGACGAUAUAAAACAUAUACGAGGGUGGUUCCGUAAGUGUCCGGCCCGAGGUAGAAAAUAUAUCCUUGCGCCAGAAAACUCCAAACUCCAAACUCCAAACUCCGAGGUAGAAAAUGCGCGUGAAUUUGAAAAUGCGAUUAAGGACGCGUGGCGCCAUCUGUUGGAGGGCCGGAGCACCGCCCUCAACCCUCUCCAUGCUUUUGUCGGUUGGUGAGUGGCAUUUCAAACAGCCAGGGUGCACUCUUCAGUUAAAAUGGAAAAAAUCGAGUACCACGCUGUGAUAAAAUUCUUGACAAAAGAGGGACUUUUGCCUAAAGAAAUUAAAGCGCGACUGGACAACGUGUUCAGGGAAGCUUCUCCGUCGUACACAACGGUAAAAGACUGGGCUAAGCAGUUUCAACUGGAGCGAGCGUCCAUUGAAGAUGAUCCACGCGAUGGUCGUCCAGUGGAAGUGGUGACACAAGAAAAUUUGUCUCUUGUCGAGGAGGAAGUGCUGAGCGACAGGAGUCUGAAGGUGAAGAAAAUCUCAGAAAGGCUGGGGCUUUCCAAAAGAACCAUUUUUCGCAUCAUCGGCGAUGGCCUUCACAUGAAAAAGGUCAGUUCUAGAUGGGUGCCACGACUUCUGUCGUCAGUUCAAAAGCAACAGCGCGUCGUCUGUGCCAGAGUUUUUGGAGCUCUGUCAAGAGAACGAAGAAGAAAUAUUGAAGUCAAUUGUCACAGGGGAUGAGACUAUGGUGCUCUACUAUGAUCCCCUUUCGAAAACGGAGUCGAUGGAAUCGCACAAACCAGGAGAAGCACCCCCAAGAAAAGCCAAGGUCACACAAUCCACAAAAAAGAUCAUGGCAACAAUAUUUUGGGAUUGUCACGGGAUCCUCCUCAUCGACUUCAAAGAGAGGAACACCACAGUGAAUGCGACUUAUUAUGCUUCACUCCUGCACUGACUGCGAGAUGUCAUCAAGGAAAAGAGGUGCGGCAGGUUGAGUCGAGGUGUCCUGUUGCUCCAGGACAAUGUCCCUGCCCACAUGGCUUCUGUUGCCAAGGCUGCACUGAAGGAGUGCGGCUUCGAAGAAAUCCUCCACCCACCCUACAGUCGAGACUUGGCACCGAGUGACUACUUCCUGUUCUCAAACUUGAAGACUGAUCUCAGAGGACGGAGAUUUCAAAAUGAUAGUGAGGUGCAAGAGGCAGUUUUCCAGCAUUUUGCGGACAAAACUUCGGACUAUUUUUUCAAGGGUAUAAGAAUGCUGGUUGAAAGGUGUCAAAAGUGCAUCGAAGUUAAGGGUGACUAUGUCGAAAAGUGAUACACUUGUUUCGUCUCUAUGACUAUUAAAUGUUGGUCGGGCCGGAAACUUAUGGAACCACCCUCGUAUAUAUGGGUUACUUAGCAUUGCUCAAUCAGAGAGCAAGCAAUCUUUUUUAGUUGCUGCGUGAUGAAGGAAUUUGGCGCAUUUUGUUUUGGACUAUUGUGUCAACAUUGUGUGAAACUGAUUGUCCAGUUGGUGUCUUAAAGGGACCAUGAACUAAUUUUUGCGAAUCCCGAGUACUCUGCCGGAAAUGGUUCUCACGAUCACUCAUCAUCAUAAACACAUUGACUUUUAAUCGUAUUCAGUGCACCGGUGGCACAGUUACCAUGCAAAAAUAGCGGGGCGUGACCGCCUCCCUUCGACGCGGGCUUACGUCAUCCAGUCCUCUCAGACAAUUGUGGACGACCGGGAGCACACACACCACGGGACCACAUAGGCGCAUGGUUUCGGUUUGGACAAGAAAUGGAGUAUCUGCGAUGCGUUAAAAAUUUCUGCGGACCAUAAACUACAUAGUCUAAAGCUUGUUCAUGACCAUGUAUAGUGUUUAAAAAAUAUAGUUUACUUGUCUUCAUCA